rnacentral:lncRNA from 1 species
AGUCACAGCCAGGACAGGAAUGUCACCCCCAGCUGGCAGACAGCACUCUGAGCAGCCAGGCCUGGGAUCCUCUGACCUGCCCACUUCAGGAGGCCAGUGUGGUCACUGCCACCCCACGGUCUGGGGACCCUGGACUCCAAACUUUUCCUCUGAUGCUGAAGAGUAGGGCUUGCAGGGACUCUGCCUCCUGCAGGGAGCAGCCACUGUUUCCAGGGACCCUCACAGAAGAGGAGCUAAUUUCACACUUUGGGACUCCAUAGAAGCCAGCUUCCUGGCAGUUUGAAGUGUGCUUCUCACACAUCUUCCACCAGCUUGUUUGUCUGCCUAUAUCUGAGGAUCCUUUAAAGCGAUUGAAACAAAAUUAAGGAAUGAAUCUUUGGUGAUGAAAGUGAGAAUCUGGGAGAGAUGUGAAAACUGGAAGAGAAACAGGAAGUACCUCCAGGAUUCACCUAAAUAGAUGCUGCGGUUUCUAUCAAACCACAGGCCACCCCAGCAUCUCAGUGGCUUCUAUAGGUUGUCCUGAAAGAGCCAUGAGGCCAGGGCCCUUGAUGGAUUCCCAGAUACCAGCUGCUCCUCCAGACACCAAUUCCACCCUCCACCUUUCUGUGUCCGUCCCAGACCAAGGCAGCCCAGGACUGGUAUCCUUCUAAGAAGAGGAAGGCACAUCAGAGGAGAGGCCAUGUGAGGACACCAUGGGAAGGCGGCCACCUGCAAGCCAAGGAGAGGGGCCUCAGGAGAAACCAGCCCUGCUGACACCCUGAGCUCCUUGCAAUUCCAGCCUCCUAGACUGUGAGAAAAUACACUUGUGUUAUUUAA